GAUCCUGGCUCAGGAUGAACGCUAGCGGCAGGCUUAACACAUGCAAGUCGAGGGGCAGCGGGAUUGAAGCUUGCUUCAAUUGCCGGCGACCGGCGCACGGGUGAGUAACGCGUAUCCAACCUUCCGUACACUCAGGGAUAGCCUUUCGAAAGAAAGAUUAAUACCUGAUGGUAUGAUGAGAUUGCAUGAUAUCAUCAUUAAAGAUUUAUCGGUGUACGAUGGGG
rnacentral:rRNA from 1 species